rnacentral:lncRNA from 1 species
GUUUAUUGUAAACUAUAAAGUGAAUAGAUUCGAUCAUGCUUUAAACGAAAUGAUUGACAUGUGCUGUAAAUUUGAAAAAGGUUUCAAAAAGGACAGUGGGAGUGAGAAUGCAAUUACAAGGAAAAAGUUGCAUAAGAAGAAGGCAAAGAAAUCCAAAGGAACAUGCUUUCAUUGUGGAAAGGAUGAACGUUGGAAGAAG